GACGAUGGAGCUGCUGAACUAAAAAGUACGUCCUGUUCUUUAAUUAGUGUAACGAAGCUAGUUAGGUGUUCAACCCGAACCCUUAGUAGUGAUUGUUUCUGUUUGGAGUGGUAAAGAUAUCGGAAAGACGAACGGACUGGCGGAUAGCUAGCUCAACUAGCACAGGACUACAUGUGGUGAAGGAGUAUCCUGUGAAGCAUCCAAGCUCUGUUUGUGUUCUUCAUCGAGCUUUUUCUUCCUGACGCGUGAAUGAAGAAAAGUCAGGAUACAGUAAAGAGCUUCAGAUGAAGUGGACUGGAAGGUCUGAAGAACCAUCUGCUCUUAUUCCACUUCCGACUGUCCAGUUUGAUGUGUGGUGCAGGCUGAGGUGCAUUUCUGUGUUGUUAUAGACUUCAUGUCAGCCAUUUUCCAUUAUCUUUCUCAUUAUUGAGUUUUUAGCUUGCAGACUCAAUUCACAGGAUGUUUUUUUUUCUCUCUCGCCAUUCUGUGUAAAGUUUAGACACAUCACACUUUUACCCCUCAUUCUGAUGUUUCAUGUAACAUUACCUUUAAGUUUUUGACUUGGAUGAUGUUUUUCCUUUGCACUGCUGCUUUACGAUUGGCUGAUUAGCUCACAGGUGUACACGGGUUCCUAAUAAAAUGGUACAUAAUUAUA